AGUGAACGCUGGCGGUAGGCCUAACACAUGCAAGUCGAACGGCAGCACAGUAAGAGCUUGCUCUUACGGGUGGCGAGUGGCGGACGGGUGAGGAAUACAUCGGAAUCUACUUUUUCGUGGGGGAUAACGUAGGGAAACUUACGCUAAUACCGCAUACGACCUACGGGUGAAAGCAGGGGAUCUUCGGACCUUGCGCGAGUGAAUGAGCCGAUGUCGGAUUAGCUAGUUGGCCGGGUAAAGGCCCACCAAGGCGACGAUCCGUAGCUGGCCUGAGAGGAUGAUCAGCCACACUGGAACUGAGACACGGUCCAGACUCCUACGGGAGGCAGCAGUGGGGAAUAUUGGACAAUGGGCGCAAGCCUGAUCCAGCCAUACCGCGUGGGUGAAGAAGGCCUUCGGGUUGUAAAGCCCUUUUGUUGGGAAAGAAAAGCAGCAGGUUAAUACCCCGCUGUUCUGACGGUACCCAAAGAAUAAGCACCGGCUAACUUCGUG
rnacentral:rRNA from 1 species